CCUACGGGAGGCAGCAGUGAGGAAUAUUGGUCAAUGGACGAGAGUCUGAACCAGCCAAGUAGCGUGAAGGAUGACUGCCCUAUGGGUUGUAAACUUCUUUUAUAUGGGAAUAAAAUGUUCCACGUGUGGGAUUUUGUAUGUACCAUAUGAAUAAGGAUCGGCUAACUCCGUGCCAGCAGCCGCGGUAAUACGGAGGAUCCGAGCGUUAUCCGGAUUUAUUGGGUUUAAAGGGAGCGUAGGUGGAUUGUUAAGUCAGUUGUGAAAGUUUGCGGCUCAACCGUAAAAUUGCAGUUGAAACUGGCAGUCUUGAGUACAGUAGAGGUGGGUGGAAUUUGUGGUGUAGCGGUGAAAUGCUUAGAUAUCACGAAGAACUCCGAUUGCGAAGGCAGUUCACUGGACUGCAACUGACACUGAGGCUCGAAAGUGUGGGUAUCAAACAGGAUUAGAUACCCUUGUAGUC
rnacentral:rRNA from 1 species